AUGAAGCGACGAGUGCUGAUUCUUCACUUUCUGCCUAGGAUUUUACAGUUUGACCUAAUACCAAUCAUUUUUAAGAAAGGGAACAUGCAUACAUUAUGCCCUUGGACUAUUCAAGUUAUCCAAUAUAUCCUUAACCCUAUGCUGUCUACCUUGCACUACUCAGCUGCCGAAACUGAAACAAUAACAGUCCUUGAAAGUCGACAUAUAAUGUCUUUGAUUGUUACAUCGAGCAUUGAGAUUAAUCAGGCCUUGUUUAAUUGUGACAGGCAGUCCUUGAAAGUUUUUCUGGUUUGUGUUUGUGCAUUUUUGCUUCAGUUUUCGUUCCAUCGGGCAAUCAGGUUCCCUCCCCCACAAUAUGAUGAACAAAUUAGCAUUGUGAAUUGGCACUUAACUGCAACAAUGUUGAUAAUGUCAAUGCAAGAGUUUUCAUAA
rnacentral:rRNA from 1 species